CGACAUUACCUAUCCCCCCUCCCCCCACCCCAGGGAGGAUGAACAGGGUUUCGUCCUCUUAGUGUGUAUUUGACGUAUUGUGUUAAUGAUGGCCAAAGAACAUUUCUUGUUGCAGUUGUAAUGUUGAUUUAUAGUAUCCCACAGUUUCACUAUCUAUUGUUUACGUUUUACCAACCAUCACCUUAGUUCACCUUAAUUCACCGUUCGUUGCGCUCAUUUACCAUCCAUCACCUUAAAUGCUUUACAGUAUCUCACAGUAAACACAAUGAUACUUUUCAAGCGCCAACUUUAUCCUACGCAACAGUCAUUUUGCGUUGCCCGCAUUGGACCCACACAUUCGUUUUUACCUUAAAUUGGAUCGAGAGUUGGUUCGUGAUGAUGUCAAGACGAGAAUGUUGUAAAAGCCAAAGGAAAGGAACCCGAAGGAAACCCGGCGAAACUGUGCGUUUUUAUUUCGUUUUCUGCAUGACUGGAGAAAAGCUUAUUUCUCAAACCUUCAGUCCUUUGAAGUUUUUCCGCUACUGUCAAAUUUACAG